UACGAAGGGGGCUAGCGUUGCUCGGAAUCACUGGGCGUAAAGGGUGCGUAGGCGGGUCUUUAAGUCAGGGGUGAAAUCCUGGAGCUCAACUCCAGAACUGCCUUUGAUACUGAGGAUCUUGAGUUCGGGAGAGGUGAGUGGAACUGCGAGUGUAGAGGUGAAAUUCGUAGAUAUUCGCAAGAACACCAGUGGCGAAGGCGGCUCACUGGCCCGGUACUGACGCUGAGGUGUGAAAGCGUGGGGAGCAAACAGG
rnacentral:rRNA from 1 species